CUGUUACCCAGGCUGGAGUGCAAUGGUGCAGUCUCGGCUCACCUCAACUUCAGCCUCCUGGGUUCAAGCGAUUCUCCUGCCUCAGCCUCCCAAGUAGCUGGGAUUACAGGCAUGUGCCACCACACCUGGCUAAUUUUUUCUUUUUUUGUUUUGAGAUGGAGUUUCGCUGUUGUUGCCCAGGCUGGAGUGCAAUGGCACAAUCUCGGCUCACCACAAUCUUUGCCUUUCGGGUUCAAGGGAUUCUCCUUUCUCAGCCUCCCGAGUAGCUGGGAUUACAGGCAUGUGCCACCACACCCGGCUAAUGUUGUAUUUUUAGUAGAGACGGGGUUUCUCUAUGUUGGUUAGGCUGGUCUCAAACUCCUGACCUCAGGUGAUCUACCUUCCUCAGCCUCUUAAAGUGCUGGGAUCACAGGCAUGAGCCAUUGCUCCUGGCCUAAUUUUUGUAUUUUUAGUAGAGAGGGGGUUUCACUAUAUUGGCCAGGCUGGUCUCGAAUUCCUGACCUCAAGUUAUCUGCCUGCCUCGGCCUCCCAAAGUGUUGGAAUUACAGGCGUGAACCACCAUGCCUGGCCAGCUCUAUUUCUUUAAGCCUACAUGUUUUGCACUUGUUAAAAGUAUUUGAAUAUACAAUUACUCAGUUUCCCUUGUUUAUGCUUGAAUUUUGUAUAAUCUUAAAUAUUUUUUCCAAUCUAAGCUUUAUUUUAUCCCGUUUCUUCUAUAUUUGUAUAACUUUAGGUGGCUAUCUUCAUUGAAAAUUUUUUCUCAAAAGCCUUAAAAUAGAACAUAGUUCUUGGCAGCAAUUUAAAGUUAUUUGAGGAGAAGGGGAGACUUACAAUGAUGCUUCAAUUGAAGCAAACUAAAAAGUAAUGAAGCAAGACAGAGGAAAAAGCAGUAUUCACUUGAGCACAUCCCAAAAGAAUAACAUUUCAAAUGUAACUAGAAAAAAGAUUGCUGAAGUUUGCAAUACAGAAAUAAUUAUUAAGAUAGCUUUAAAGCCCUGCUCAGCUUUUGAAUGUUGGGAAUUGACCCAGAGGUGGCUGUAAACUAAGAUGGUUCCUUCAGUAAUGACCAUUUUUUCUUUUUCAAGAUGAUGAUUAUUCCCCACCUUCUAGGACACAAAGACCAACGAGCCACCACAGCCACCAGUCCCAGAACCCGCUAAUGCUGGGGAACGGAAAAUGAGGGAGUUCAACUCUGGCCCUCACAAUCCAGUGGAGGAGACGAAACUCAUCUGCCUCUGUCCCUCUGGGCACGCCUCAUGCCAGGUGCAUCUGUGGACAGGGGCCAUGCUCCUGGGCUUCCAAAGUUGGAGAAAGCUGCCAGGCUCAGGUCUGAAGGCCAGAAUUCUACAGUAAGUCCUACUGAGUCAAGGUGGGAGCAGGGUCGGUGGCUUCUGAGGCUCUGCGGGAGAAUCCGUUUCCUGGUCGUGGAGGUGGCCUGCACUCCUCAGCUUGUGCUGCCAGUCUCGAAUGACUGGAGUUUCCUGCUUCUGUCACUACACCUCCCACCCUCUCCAUCACCUGCUUUGCUCUUAUAAGGAUCCGGGUGGAGUCUUGCUCUGUCAUCCAGGCUGGCAGUGGCGUGGUCUUGGCUCACUGCAACGUCUGCCUCCUGGGUUCAAGUGA
ensembl:lncRNA novel transcript